AUUGAACGCUGGCGGCAUGCCUAACACAUGCAAGUCGAACGGCAGCACGGCAGUAGCAAUACUGUGGGUGGCGAGUGGCGGACGGGUGAGGAAUACGUCGGAAUCUGCCCAGUCGUGGGGGAUAACUAGCCGAAAGGUUAGCUAAUACCGCAUACGACCGAGAGGUGAAAGCGGGGGACCGCAAGGCCUCGCGCGAUUGGAUGAGCCGACGUCGGAUUAGCUAGUUGGUGGGGUAAAGGCCCACCAAGGCGACGAUCCGUAGCUGGUCUGAGAGGAUGAUCAGCCACACUGGAACUGAGACACGGUCCAGACUCCUACGGGGGGCAGCAGUGGGGAAUAUUGGACAAUGGGCGCAAGCCUGAUCCAGCAAUGCCGCGUGUGUGAAGAAGGCCUGGUGUAAGCACUUUAUUACAGGAACGAAAGACGUUGGUAUUAAUACUACUGACGUGCUGAC
rnacentral:rRNA from 1 species